rnacentral:rRNA from 1 species
UACGUAGGGUCCGAGCGUUGUCCGGAGUUACUGGGCGUAAAGCGCGCGCAGGCGGCGGUAUAAGCCUGGCGUGAAAGCCCCAGGCUUAACCUGGGAGGGUCGUCGUGGACUGUACCGCUUGAGGGCGAUAGGGGCUGGUGGAAUGCCUGGUGUAGUGGUGAAAUGCGUAGAGAUCAGGCGGAACACCCGUGGCGAAGGCGGCCAGCUGGGUCGUCCCUGACGCUGAGGCGCGAAGGCGUGGGGAGCGAACGGG